UCGGGAAUUUUGGGCAAUGGGCGAAAGCCUGACCCAGCAACGCCGCGUGAAGGAUGAAGUAUUUCGGUAUGUAAACUUCGAAAGAAUAGGAAGAAUAAAUGACGGUACUAUUUAUAAGGUCCGGCUAACUACGUGCCAGCAGCCGCGGUAAUACGUAGGGACCAAGCGUUGUUCGGAUUUACUGGGCGUAAAGGGCGCGUAGGCGGCAAUUCAAGUCAUCUGUGAAAUCUCCGGGCUUAACUCGGAACGGUCAGAUGAUACUGCUUUGCUAGAGUGCAGAAGGGGCAAUCGGAAUUCUUGGUGUAGCGGUGAAAUGCGUAGAUAUCAAGAGGAACACCUGAGGUGAAGGCGGGUUGCUGGGCUGAUACUGACGCUGAAGCGCGAAAGCUAGGGUAGCAAACGGGAUUAGAUACCCCUGUAGUCCCUGAGCGGGCUGGCAAGGCGCAU
rnacentral:rRNA from 1 species